rnacentral:rRNA from 1 species
AUUGAACGCUGGCGGCAGGCCUAACACAUGCAAGUCGAGCGGAGCGGCGGACGGGUGAGUAAUGCCUAGGAAUCUGCCUGGUAGUGGGGGAUAACGUUCGGAAAUGGGCGCUAUUACCGCUACCUCUCAGAUGAGCCUAGGUCGGAUUAGCUAGUGGGUGGGGGAAAGGCCUACCAAGGCGACGAUCCGUAACUGGUCUGAGAGGAUGAUCAUUCACCAUGGAACUGAGACACGGUCCAGACUCCUACGGGAGGCAGCAGUGGGGAAUAUUGGACAAUGGGCGAAAGCCUGAUCCAGCCAUGCCGCGUGUAUGAAGAAGGUCUUCGGAUUGUAAAGCACUUUAAGUUGGGAGGCGUUACCAGCAGAAUAAGCACCGGCUAACUUCGUGCCAGCAGCCGCGGUAAUAC